rnacentral:rRNA from 1 species
UAUCUGCAGUCGACGGUAAAUAUUUAGCAAUAGAUAUGAGAGUGACGUACGGGUGCGUAACACGUAUGCAACCUACCCUUUACAGGCGGAUAGCUCGGGGAAACUCGAAUUAACCCGCCGUAAUAUAAUUGGAUGGCAUCAUUUGAUUAUUAAAUCUACGGAGGUAAAGGAUGGGCAUGCGUCUGAUUAGUUAGUUGGCGGGGUAACGGCCCACCAAGACGAUGAUCAGUAGGGGAACUGAGAGGUUGAUCCCCCACACUGGCACUGAGAUACGGGCCAGACUCCUACGGGAGGCAGCAGUAGGGAAUAUUGGUCAAUGGAUGGAAGUCUGAACCAGCCAUGCCGCGUGCAGGAAGAAGGCCUUCUGGGUUGUAAACUGCUUUUGCCAGGGGAUAAAAUGACCUUGCGAGGUUAAUUGAAGGUACCUGGUGAAUAAGCCACGGCUAACUACGUGCCAGCAGCCGCGGUAAUACGUAGGUGGCAAGCGUUGUCCGGAUUUAUUGGGUUUAAAGGGUGCGUAGGCGGCUUAUUAAGUCAGUGGUGAAAUACUCUAGCUCAACUAGAGGGGUGCCAUUGAUACUGAUGAGCUUGAGUACAGAUGAGGUAGGCGGAAUUGACGGUGUAGCGGUGAAAUGCUUAGAUAUCGUCAAGAACACCUAUAGCGAAGGCAGCUUACUAGGCUGUAACUGACGCUGAGGCACGAAAGUGUGGGGAUCAAACAGGAUUAGAUACCCUGGUAGUCCACACUGUAAACGUUGAUUACUCGCUGUGUGCGAUAUACAGUACGCGGCCAAGCGAAAGCGAUAAAUAAUCCACCUGGGGAGUACGCCGGCAACGGUGAAACUCAAAAG